rnacentral:rRNA from 1 species
CACGUAGGGGGCAAGCGUUGUCCGGAUUUAUUGGGCGUAAAGAGCUCGUAGGUGGUUCGGUAAGUCAGGUGUGAAACCUCCAGGCUCAACCUGGAGACGCCACUUGAUACUGCUGUGACUGGAGUCCGGUAGGGGAGCGUGGAAUUCCUGGUGUAGCGGUGAAAUGCGCAGAUAUCAGGGAGGAACACCAGCGGCGAAGGCGGCGCUCUGGGCCGGUACUGACACUGAGGAGCGAAAGCGUGGGUAGCAAACAGG